UGACGGUACCACUUGAAUAAGCUCCGGCUAACUACGUGCCAGCAGCCGCGGUAAUACGUAGGGAGCAAGCGUUAUCCGGAUUUACUGGGUGUAAAGGGCGUGUAGGCGGGACUGCAAGUCAGAUGUGAAAGCACGAGGCUCAACUUCGUGUCUGCAUUUGAAACUGUAGUUCUUGAGUGUUGGAGAGGCUAACGGAACUCCUAGCGUAGCGGUGAAAUGCGUAGAUAUUAGGAAGAACACCAGUGGCGAAGGCGGUUAGCUGGACAAUAACUGACGCUGAGGCGCGAAAGCGUGGGUAGCAAACAGGAUUAGAUACCCUG
rnacentral:rRNA from 1 species